UACGGAGGGUGCAAGCGUUACUAGGAAUCACUGGGCGUAAAGGGCGCGUAGGCGGCCUAGCAAGUCUGGUGUGAAAGCCCAGGGCUCAACCCUGGAAGGGCACUGGAAACUGUUAGGCUUGAGUUCCGGAGAGGAGGGGGGAAUUCCCGGUGUAGCGGUGAAAUGCGUAGAUGUCGGGAGGAAUACCGGUGGCGAAGGCGCCCCUCUGGACGGAAACUGACGCUGAGGCGCGAAAGCGUGGGGAGAAAACAGG
rnacentral:rRNA from 1 species